rnacentral:ncRNA from 1 species
CUCCCUGAGGAGCGUUGCAACGCACGGUUUGUCCGUCGCCAGGCUCAGGGACCUGAUCGCAAACCGCCGACCUUUCUGGUCGUUCGUGUUUUCUUUCAACGGCGCUCACCCAAC